rnacentral:rRNA from 1 species
UGGGGAAUAUUGCACAAUGGGCGCAAGCCUGAUGCAGCCAUGCCGCGUGUGUGAAGAAGGCCUUCGGGUUGUAAAGCACUUUCAGCGAGGAGGAAGGGUUCAGUGUUAAUAGCACUGUUCAUUGACGUUACUCGCAGAAGAAGCACCGGCUAACUCCGUGCCAGCAGCCGCGGUAAUACGGAGGGUGCAAGCGUUAAUCGGAAUUACUGGGCGUAAAGCGCACGCAGGCGGUUUGUUAAGUCAGAUGUGAAAUCCCCGCGCUUAACGUGGGAACUGCAUUUGAAACUGGCAAGCUAGAGUCUUGUAGAGGGGGGUAGAAUUCCAGGUGUAGCGGUGAAAUGCGUAGAGAUCUGGAGGAAUACCGGUGGCGAAGGCGGCCCCCUGGACAAAGACUGACGCUCAGGUG